UCAAUAUUGAUCAAAAGAAGAUUCAAUAUUUGGACAACAUCUUGGGAAACUGUGAAGAGGGGAAUGAAAUUUGGAUGCUCCUCCAAGUUGUGAAACAACAAUUCUCGAUUUUUCUUCAUGACAUGAAGCAUCCAAAAGCUGGAAUGGUUGAAUCAUUUCCAAUUGAAGAUGUUCCUCUUCAAUGAAAAAGUGACAAGUCAAAUGUUGAUUGUGGUGUAUAUAUCUAAUGCAUCACAUGGAACACUUUCAUGGGUUUCCUUACAUCAAUACUGAAUUGUCACAGGCACCUCAAAGGAGAAAGCUCAGAGCCAUGUACUGUUCCAGGAUCAUAUUGUGUGAUCUCAAUACGUGCAGGGAUGAAAUUCUAAAUGAGAUCCUUACCUUUGCAAAAAGGAAGAAGUGAGUGUGA